CAAAAAAUACCAAAGUUAUCGAAAUAAUCAGCAGUCAUUACAACCGUCCUCACUUUAAAUUCAUCUCAGAGUGGAAAGGAUUGGAAUAUCACCCAAUUUAUCUUGAUGGAUCAUAUGCACCACCUUCUUUAGUUAUUGACGAGCUUAGAAGCAUAUUGCAAAGUCUUGGUUGUUGACUGCAACCCAAUUUAUCUUGAUGGGAUCCAUAUGCACCACCUUCUUUAAUAUGUUGAUGAGCUUAGAAGCAUAUGGCUUAGUCUUCGUUGACUGACCAUUGGCUUGAUGGAGAUUAAGCAUUUUCAGUUGACGAUUCCUGCUUGGUUUUAUCCCAACCUUUC
rnacentral:lncRNA from 1 species